UAUUCUAUAAUACAGUUUUUUUUCCUUGUUUUUGAGUGGCACCAAUUUUGAAAGAAAUACCUUUAACUCAAAAAUUUCUAUGUUCUGAAUGGCAAAUAUUUCCAGCAUCAAAAGAUCACUGGUAAGAAUAAACAUCUAGGUGAUUGCCUGAGUGAAGUUGGCCCCCCCACCUUCUUCAAAUCAGACAAAAUUGGUGUCAAUCAACUCAGCUAUGUCUCUGCUGGUUUGUGCAGCAAACAUUUUCCUUUGUGCUGCUAUCAUUCUAAAGAUAUUAAGAAAAAUGUUUCUAGAGGUCAUCAAAGGUCAGUCAACAUCAGUUCAUGCUGGAUCUGUGAAUUUCAUUUGAAAUUGUUAAGUGCUAACCUAUGAACAUGAAUAAUUUAAUUUUAAUCUUGAUGAAAUUCACUUGGAACUAGGUCUUAUUUAGAAUGGACUGAUACAAUACCUCCCAAAACACACUCAGUGACCUGUAUUUUAGUUUCUGAUCACCAGAGGGUGCUAUUAGACAAACUGUACUGUUGAAAUACGAA